AAAAUAUAACACUGAUUUUUUUUAAUGGAAUUGCAUAAAUUGUUUAACUGCAAAGUUCUAUAAAACAAGAUUUAUAGUUGCUUUUUGAGGGUGUUCUAGAAUAGCAUGAUACUUGCUAGCCUUAGGACUAGAGAUUUGAUUCCAAUUAAAAUUCUUAUUUGAAAAAUUGAACUUCUUGUUUUAUAAGAAGAGAAAUGUUCAUACAGAAUGAACCUGGCUUGCAAGAUGGAGGAAAUUAUAUAAAAAUACUAUUUUUUAUUUCUUAUGAAAUCGGUCAAAACAUGGUGAAACAUACUUAUCAUGACCUAAUGAGAGAAGCCGUAAGAUAAAACUUGUAUUAAAAUCUGUAAUAAAAACAUAAGUAGAUAUUUGUAUCUCGGAAAGGAUAUUUGUACGCAUGAAGCCACUUGGGCUGCUAAAAUAAGGGGCUGAGUCAUGGGAUGUCAGUUCAAUCUGAUUGUCUUAUUUUCAGGUACCUUUAUAAUUUAAUUAUACCUAUCAUCGGCUGGUUGUGGUUGCUCACAUCUGUAAUCCCAGGAACUUGGGAGGCUGAGGUGCGUAGAUCGCUUGAGCUCAGGAGUUCGAAAACAGCUUGGGUAAUGUGAUGAAACAUGUCUCUACAAAAAAUACAUAAACUAUUAGCUGGGCGUGCUGGCAUGCACCUGUAAUCCCAGCUACUCGGCAGGCUGAGGUGGGAGGAUUGCUUGAGCUGGGGAGGUCGAGGUUGCAGUGAGCUGCUGCUAUUGCACUAUUGGAGACGUUGUAAUAGCCUAUAUCUGCUAUUGCACUAUUGGAGUCUGCUCAAAUGCUGCCUAGACCAGAGCUAAAAUUGCUAAUAGGCACUGUCUCUGGUCCAUUUGAAUCUGGAAUCACUCCACCCCUGUUGCUGCUAUACCAACUGCCAACAAGGAUCACAGUGCUAUCUGUGCUACCUUCUGAUCUCCCAGAAGUGCCUUCUAUUGACAAGCCUAACAGGAACCAAGCUGGCAAGGAAGUCUGGGGAAAGUAGAUUGCAGAAUUUCAGCCUCAGGAGAACAGAGCUGACUAUAGAAGGAUGACUGUGUGUGAAAUGGGGAGAGGGCUGAGUGCCCACAGAAAAUAACCAACCAGGACACUUAUUUUCAGCUAUUAAGCAUCCACACACACAUCCUUCUACCCAUAUUUAAACUUCUAUGCAGCAAUAACAGUUUUAUGCUUCUGUCUUUGUAGAUUUAACUCUGUUCUUUAUGAAACUCACCAUUCCCUCAGAAAGGGGAGAAACAGCCCCACCAGUUACUACUGUUCUUAUUGGUGUUAAUUCUUCUAGUUUAGUCACAAUCCCACCUAGAUAUUCUGUAGCUUGAAGAUUAAACUGUAAAGUUCCCUAUCAUUAGUAUUAGUGGCAUUCCUUGUACUCCUACGGCUUGAGAGGGGGAAGGAAAAAAAUAGUUACUAUAUACAAAGAUAUUUAGAACAAGCAAUGAAGCACAUUUACAUAACUACUUUGGUACUUGUUUCUGACUGGUCAUGAAGCUGUAGUUGAUAUUUGUAACUUCUUCCUCUACUUAAUUUUUCAUUGCUCCUGGCCAGCACUUCAGCUGGCAAGUGUUCUUUACCUAGUAGGGUAGCUGAAUCUUCAUUCUGGAUGGGUCUGAGUCUUUAGUAGUUGGGGUGCUUAUUAAUUUUCACUAUUAAAUAAGUCUUAAGAGGCAAUCCAGAGAUUCCCCUGGGGUCCUUGACCUCAUUGUGUAGCAGCAACCCAAUAUCCGUAAUAAUAAUCUAGUUCAGUCACCCCAGCCAAUACAGGGAUCUCUUUCUUUGUUUUUUAGUUUAGUGUGAUAAGAAACCUAAUAUAUCUAGGCAUCAGUCUCAAUUUUCAAUUCAUUUGAACCAUUUUAUGUGCCUUGGUAGAAGAAUUCUUUCCUUGUGAACUAAGACCUGUAAACUAGCAUAGUCCAAGUUUACAGGGAUGAGAAUUAGAAAUUCUGUGAGAGGGUUAUUAAGUAUACUACUGAGAGGAAUCAGUCCUAUUUUUAUCCCUUGAUUCCUGGACCCAUGUAUUCUGGCAAUGGGAGAAAUACAACUAUGCUGAUCACUGGUUCAAACUAUAUGCUACAUUUUGUAUAAUAGCACUGAAGUCUCUCAGGGGCUUGUCUCCCACCAGGACUAAUAACUGAGUUUUUUUUUUUUUUUUUAGACAGUCUCGCUUGCCACCCAGGCUGGAGUGCAGUGGUGCGAUCUCAGCUCACUGCAACCUCCGCUUCCUGGGUUCAAGUGAUUCUCAUGCCUCAGCCUCCUGAGUAGCUGGGAUUACAGAUGCAUGUCACCAUACCCAGCUAUUUUUUUGUAUUUUUAGUAGAGAUGGGGUUUCACUAUGUUGUUCAGGCUGGUCUUGAACUCCUGACCUCAAGUGAUCUGCCUGCCUCAGCCUCCCAAAGUGCUGUGAUUAUAGACGUGAGCCACCACACCCAGCAUAACUGUCUUAACAGGUCAUUAUAUUAUUCUACCAAGCCAGCCACUUCUGGAUGAUUAGGUACAUGGAAAGUCCUAUGAAUUUCAUCCAUUGCUACAUUUAUUUUGUUGUGAAAUGAGUUUCUGAUUCAGAAGUUAUAUUGUGAGGGAUAUCAUGUCUAUAGGAUCAUAGUUGGUUGUAUUAUAGGAAGGGACUUCAGAUUCAUAUCCAGAAGUAUCAGUUUAGUAAGGACAAUUUGCUGGCCCUUCCAUUAGGGAAGGGGUCCAAUGUAAUUAAUCAGCCACCAGGUAGCUGGUGUUUUUU
rnacentral:lncRNA from 1 species